rnacentral:lncRNA from 1 species
GAAGCUGUCAAGGUCCUCACAGUACAAUUUUCUCUCUGCCUCAGCGCCUCCUCCUCCCCUUUCUGGAGGCUGGGAAGUUCAAGACCAAUGCACGAGAAUUUGGUCUAAAGAGAAUCUUCUUGCUCUGAACACACAUAGUAGAAGGCAGAAGGGCAAGAGAGAGAACAAAGUCUGUGUCUCCACAUGGCAGAAGAGCAGAGGAGACAGAACCUACUCCUCUAUGGCAACCACCCCAUCAAUGACAAAAAUCCUAGAAGGAUGUAUGUAUAGGAAGUUGAAGUGUUGAGAAGAGAAUGGCUCAGAGUCAAGCGGGAACAAGUUCUAUAUCUGGAUAAAGUGCGAAGGAGCUUAAAUCUGUUGAAACCCAAAAUUUGCCUCCGUUUAAUGGCUUAGUUUCUUCUGUCUAAUGGUAACUGGAAUUUCCCUUUCUAAUUGUGUAUUGAAGAACGAGAACGACUCAUGUUUAAGUGUUAGAUGUAAGUCAUUUCAUAAUUACUCGUGCACUUCAAAAACAACAAAAAUAAAAUCAAAAUCAUAGAUUAUAUGGAAAGCUCAAUUCAAAAUUUGUAAAAUGUAGCAUUUUGUUGCAUUUUAUAGGAAAACAUAGGAUUGUAAUAACAUUAAAUUAUGUAUAUAUUUUUACUCUUCAUUAAAUGAAAUUUAGAGACAUCGUCAAUCAUUAAGUUGCAUUUAGUGAGGUGUUAACAGAAAUUAAUUCAUUGUAAACAUAAUAAUAAAAUGAAUGGAGCAGAAUUACCGAAG